rnacentral:rRNA from 1 species
CCUACGGGGGGCAGCAGUCGAGAAUCAUGCACAAUGGGGGAAACCCUGAUGGAGCGACGCCGCGUGGGGGAAUGAAGGUCUGCGGAUUGUAAACUCCUGUCAUGUGGGAGCAAAUUAAAAAGAUAGUACCACAAGAGGAAGAGAAGGCUAACUCUGUGCCAGCAGCCGCGGUACUACGGAGGUCUCAAGCGUUGUUCGGAAUCACUGGGCGUAAAGCGUGCGUAGGCGGUUUCGUAAGUCGGGUGUGAAAGGUGCGGGCUCAACCCGCGGACGGCACAUGAUACUGGGAGACUAGAGUACUGGAGGGGGAAGCGGAAUUCUCGGUGUAGCGGUGAAAUGCGUAGAUAUCGAGAGGAACACUCGUGGCGAAGGCAGGUUCCUGGACAUUAACUGACGCUGAGGCACGAAAGCCCGGGGAGCGAACAGGAUUAGAUACCCCAGUAGUC